GGAUGUGAGGGCGAUCUGGCUGCGACAUCUGUCACCCCACUGCUAGCCAGGGUUGAUUCGGCUGAUGUGGCUGGCGAGGCGGGUGUCCCUGUCCUCCCUCAACGAUCCAUGUGUGUCCCUCCCCAAGCUGCACGCUUGGUCGAAGACGACGACCACCCCCGACAGAGAAGGAGCACUCCUCGGUCAGGGGUAUACGAGUAGCUGCACUCCCCAGCUAGAACCUCCAAACAAGCUCUCAGAAACCAGUGUGAACUUCAGUGGACUUAAGGUACGCACUUGCUGGGAUUAUCCACUACCUAACGCACGUGCAUACAU
rnacentral:snRNA from 1 species